rnacentral:rRNA from 1 species
AGUCGAACGAGAAAGUGGAGCAAUCCAUGAGUAAAGUGGCGACCGGGUGAGUAACACGUGACUAACCUGCCUUCGAGUGGGGGAUAACCUCGGGAAACCGGGGCUAAUACCGCAUAAUGCCGAAAGGUUAAAGGAGCAAUUCGCUUGAAGAGGGGGUCGCGGCUGAUUAGCUAGUUGGCGGGGUAACGGCCCACCAAGGCGAUGAUCGGUAGCCGGCCUGAGAGGGCGCACGGCCACACUGGAACUGAAACACGGUCCAGACUCCUACGGGAGGCAGCAGUGGGGAAUUUUGCGCAAUGGGGGAAACCCUGACGCAGCAACGCCGCGUGGAGGAUGAAGUCCUUUGGGACGUAAACUCCUUUCGACCGGGACGAUAAUGACGGUACCGGUGGAAGAAGCCCCGGCUAACUUCGUGCCAGCAGCCGCGGUAAUACG